GAAGAAGAAAAAAAACCGUGCUGAGCGCUCCGCUACUGUGUGUUCAUGUCCUCUUCUGAGCCUGAAGAUGAAAUAAAACCACAACUGCUGUAAGCAGGACGCUGUCUUCACAACUCGGAGACAAAUUGCAGGCGCUAUGAACCGGAGCAAGGACUAAUCUCGCCUCAUAAUGAGGCGGUGACCUCCUAUUUGCUCUGAGCAAUAUAUGCAAGUCCAGAUUUACACAAUGUUGAUAAAGACGACAUUGUGUGUAAGUGACUUGUUUUACUGUUUUCUCCUUCCUUGUUAC